AUGGCCGACGACCCUCGCUUCCUCAAGCUCAAGCUCCCCAGGCCGCACAUCAUCCAAGAGCACGAGAAAGCAUGGAUGACUGACGAGGAGUUCGCGAGGGAGACGCUAGCCGGCGUCAACCCCAUGAUGAUCAAACGUCUCACGGAGUUCCCUCCCAAGAGCACUCUGGAUCCUAGCAAGUACGGCGACCACACCAGCACCAUCACCGAGGCGCACAUCGGCGAGCACCUGGAGGGCCUCACCGUGCACCAGGCGCUCACCAGCAACAGGCUCUACAUCGUGGACCAGCACGACAACCUGAUGCCGUUCCUCAUCAACAUCAACAACCUCAAGGACAGCUUCGUGUACGCGACCAGGACCCUGCUCUUCCUGCAAGGGGACGGCACGCUCGCCUCGGUCGCCAUCGAGCUCAGCUCGCCCCUGCUCCAGGGAGACCUGACCACGGCUGAGAGCACCGUGUACACGCCGGAGGACACCGGCGUCGAGGGCUGGGUAUGGCAGCUCGCCAAGGCCUACGUCGCCGUGAACGACUACGGCUGGCACCAGCUGAUCAGCCACUGGCUCAACACGCACGCGGUGAUGGAGCCCUUCGUCAUCGCGACCAACAGGCAGCUCAGUGUGACCCACCCGGUGCACAAGCUCCUGCACCCGCACUACCGCGACACCAUGAACAUCAACUCGCGAGCUCGGGGUAUGCUCAUCAACGCCGACGGCGUCAUCGAGAUGACCGUGUUCCCGGGCAAGCAUGCUAUGCCCAUGUCUUCCAUGGUCUACAAGAACUGGAACUUCACCGAGCAAGCUCUACCAGACGAUCUAAUCAAGAGGGGCAUGGCCGUGGAGGACCCAUCGAGCCCGCACAAGGUGCGGCUGCUGAUCGAGGACUACCCAUACGCCGCGGACGGGCUCGCCGUCUGGCACGCGAUCGAGCAGUGGGUGGCAGACUACCUGACCAUCUACUACCCCAACGAUAGCGUGCUGCAGGGCGACGUGGAGCUACAGGCGUGGUGGAAGGAGGUGCGGGAAGUCGGGCACGGCGACCUCAAGGAUGCGGCAUGGUGGCCCAAGAUGCAGACAGUGGCGGAGCUGAUCAAGGCAUGCGCCACCAUCAUCUGGAUUGGGUCGGCGCUCCACGCGGCCGUCAAUUUCGGGCAGUACGCCUACUCGGGCUACCACCCCAACAAGCCGUCCAUGAGCCGCCGACCGAUGCCGGUGCCGGGCAGCGAGGAGUACGCGGAGCUGGCGCGUGACCCGGAGCGGGCGUUCAUCCACACCAUCACCAGCCUGCUCCAGGCCCUGGUGGGCAUCUCGCUCAUGGAGAUCCUCUCCAAGCACUCCUCUGACGAGGUGUACCUGGGCCAGCACGACACGCCGGCGUGGACGUCGGACGCCAAGGCACUGGAGGCGUUCAAGCGGUUCGGGGCCAGACUGGAGGGCAUCGAGAAGCAGGUGGAGGCCAGGAACCAAGAUUCGCGGCUAAAGAACCGCAUCGGGCCGGCCAAAUUCCCGUACAUGCUGCUCUUCCCCAACACCUCCGACCACACGGGCGAGGCCGAGGGGCUCUCGGCCAAGGGCAUCCCCAACAGCAUCUCCAUCUGA
rnacentral:rRNA from 1 species